GCCUGUGUGACUCAGUAGGUGAAGCAUCUGACUUCUACUUAGGUCGUGAUCUCACAGUUCGUGGGUUCGAACCCCACGUCAGGCU
rnacentral:tRNA from 1 species